rnacentral:tmRNA from 1 species
GGGGCUGACUGGUUUUGACAGCAAGGUCAAUGGAUGAAGUAAGCAUGUCGUGGAAUGUUGUGUACCCACGUAAAUCAGACACUUCACAUUUUUAACUGGCAACAACAAUUACGCUUUAGCUGCCUAAUUGACUGAAUUAUAGUAAGUCUUGGCGCAUCUCUACAAGGUAGGGAAGCUAAAUGUCUCUCAAAGGCCUUUCCUUACGGCGUUUGAUCAAGAGGCACAGAAAUGUGAGGAUAGGCAGAAGGGAGUUCCGGAAUUCUGCCGAAAUUUAAGGAACUAAGUUGCAGAUAGGGUGUUUGUUUUCGGUCUGCAAUCGAAAAUCAAUGACAAACUAAACAUGUAGAAAGCUCAUAGGUUGCUUGUUUGGACGCGGGUUCGAAUCCCGCCAGCUCCACCU